rnacentral:misc_RNA from 1 species
GAAAUGCGAUAAGUAAUGUGAAUUGCAGAAUUCCGUGAAUCAUCGAAUCUUUGAACGCACAUUGCGCCCUCUGGUAUUCCGGGGGGCAUGCCUGUCCGAGCGUCAUUGCGAACCCCUCAAGCACGGCUUGUGUGAUGGGCCCUCCCGCGUCUUGGUCGUCAAGACGGGCCCGAAAAGCAGUGGCGGCUUCGCGGUUAUCCGAUCAGCCAGAGCGUAUGGGGACUUUCUCUCUGUCACACGCCCGCGGCGCGGACCGACGCCUGUCGACCUUUAUUCAUCUUUUUCUCGGUUGACCUCGGAUCAGGUAGUGAUACCCGCUGAACCUAAGC